GCUCUUAAUAAAUAGUUCGUUCCUUAUUAAAUGCAUCUCUUUAAAGAUUUACAAAUUCAUUAAAAUUUUGAUAACUGAUAGUUUAAUACUCGGUUUAAUGUAUAAAUAAAAUGAUAAACCUAAAAAAAUAAACUAAUAUUUCCCAUUAAUGCUAAUUUUGGACAUUAAUGAAAUGUAAACCUACCAUUGUAUCCCCAUUUGAUUACAUAGUGUGACAGAUGAAAAUCAAUACAAACAAUAUGUUGGUGUCCGCACCGCACGUAAAGGAAAAUUUUCAUUUCCUUAGUUUUUAUUAGUUGGAAUAGUAUUUUUGUUAUUUCGUUUAAUUUAAAAGUAUUUUAAUCAGCCAUGGAAAGAUUCGGGAUAGUUUUCUUGCCGUUCCAUGCAGUGGGAAAUGACCAGAAGCAGAAAAUAUUCUGGGAGUGCAUUCGGCUGUCAUUGGGCAGUCGCAGCAGGGACCUUGCGGCCAAAGCUCCUUCAAAAUCGGGAACAUUGAGUACCGUUGCAUAUUUUGCAACAUGAGGUUCCAGAGAAAUCGGUGUCCUAAAUCCUAAAGGAGCCAGAGGACGGAUGUUAAUGUUUAUGUUUCGAUCAUUUAUGACUAUCCACAAUAUAUGUUCGUUAUUUGUACGUUUUAUUACAACUGCAAUAAAUAUUUCCUAAGAAACAUA